ensembl:lncRNA
AUGAGUCAGGCCUGGAAGCAACACCCACGGCCACCAGUGCCUCUGGUCCCUCCGGACGCCUCUCUGCGCCUGCACUUGGCUUCCUUCACCCUUGCUUCCCAUCAGCCUUCCCCAUAUGAUGGCCAGCGGUCCCCGAGUGGGUCUACAGCGCUCAUAGAUCAAAACCUCAGGGCAGAGACUCAUCAGCCAGGUCCCCCAGCACCCCCACCCCAUCGUCAGAGGGCAGUUGAGGACAAGGAAUUGCCCGUGGAAAGACGGCUCCUGAGGGCCCGACUGACCACCCAGGCUGCUCCUGCCCAGCACCCCACCUCGUUCAGAUGAAGCAUCGGCGGGUUUUCCUGACUGGCAAAGUUGUCCUAGAAAGGCACCCUGCCCCUCGCAGACUGACUGGGGGAAGCCAAAACAAAGUGUGAACUCCAAGAGUCUCCUACGUAUUAUGAUGUUCUAUGCUCCGUGGAACACUGCAGUGCGCUUGUUAUGGUUUAUUUCAUAAGUAGAUGCACCUUAAGAACAAUUUAUUCCUAUAUUAAUACCUCUUAAGGGAGACAUCAUCAGCCUGACUAGAAAGCAUGAUUAUGGUAAAGUCCUGGGGAAGACCUGGCAAAGCGAGGCAGCAAAAUCAAUAAAGAAGUAAAGCUGCUCGCGGCACAUUCGCGGAAGGGCUCGAGGGGGCACCCCACCGUGCCACUGAGUCUGCUCGUGGGGUGCCCAGCCCAGCACCCCCUCGCCCCCUGAUGCCCGUCUACAGCACAUGGGAACCGAAGUUGGCUGAGGGCCCAGCCACGUGUGGGGGCUGACGCCACCUUCCCCCAUGGCCUCAGCGAGGAUCCUGCGAGACGGUGGGCAGAGAGCCUCGCCCAGCCCGGCUGACCUGCCUGGCUUGCCCCAGGGAAGGGGGCAGGACGGGUUGGAACCCGCCCUCUGCCUGAAAAGGGUCCUGUCUGCGCCUCUCAUCGCUGGAGGCUGGACCCAGCGACCCACUUUCCAGCUGCGUGGCCUCAGAUGAACGUCUGAAGCCCUCCAUGCCUCGGUUUCCUCAUCUAUGAACCCAGACGACCCUCAGCGCCCUGUGGGGAGGGUUGAGGGGGUUCAUCACAGAGACACGCCCAGAGGGGCACCUGCGCGGGAUGAGCACCCCGUGCGGAAGCUGGCAGCCUCGGCCGGGGACAGCCGUUCCGUCUCUGGGCCGCAGAGUCCUCGUCUGCACAGCAGUGAUCGUAAUCCCAGCGUCGUCAGCAGACACUUAGGCCUGAGCUGGCUGGCAAGGCCAGCCUGUGGCUGACACCGCGUGGGGAAGAGGGCUCGCCUGGUCUCGGCUCCCGAGACGGAGCCCCAGCCCACACUGGGCACCCCACUCCCAUUGCCGCCUAAGCCUUCAGGCUCAUUUGCCUGGAAGGAGGCAGGCCUGCUGCAGCCUCACCAGAAAGGCUCAUUUGGAAAAUGGAAAUGCGUAUCCUAACCCCAUUUGUCACAUUAUCAGCGCUCAUGACAGCCGCGUGGCACUAUCCAAAGGAAAGAUUUAGACCUAACGGGGAAAAAUCAGUUAAAAUUGACAUAUCCAUUAGAAGAUUUUAGAACUGAAAACAUAUUCUUCGCAGAGUGUUAGGAUGACUUCUUAGGUGAUGCUAAAUCAAUAUCUCAUACUUGGGAGGAAUCCAUUAUUUUGUUUUACGAGAACCGUCUGGUUCCGAAAUUCUAUCCUGGUCUGUCAUUCCUAAACCACCCCAGGAAGGCCCAGAUGAAUCCUGCAAUACAUCAGCCAUGGUUCCAACUUGAAACCCCCUCGAAAGGAGAAAAGAUGAGGUGGAAGGCAGAUGAUUUCAAGGUGCCCCCUCCUCACCAAGGGGCCAAGCUCUCCCAACCUGCAUCCUCGGCGUGACGCCAUCAGGGGACCCAGCUCCCGGCUCCAGGCCCACGUCCACCCUCUGGGCCUCUGAUCCAUCAGGGCUGCAACCUCCUGCCCUUGCGGUUUCAGCUGCUCUGGUCGUCAACAAGCAUGAGAGACAAUGGAUCCCAGCGUGGGGCUGAUCACACCGACGGAGGGGAGAGGGACUCCCGCAGCCCAGGAGGUGGAGGGACAGGACAGGGGCAGGGUCUGGAGAGGAGGAAAGGCAGGAGGCCCCCCAGACCCAGCGGCCUCCCGGCCCGGCCCCCUGCCCCCAACCCCAGGGCUGCGGCCUGAACCCAGCAGCGGGCUGCGGUUAACGCACUUGACAGGAAAAUGGAAAAGGUUUCCUUAUAAUUCUUCCCUCUGAAGGGAUGUUUUCACUCAAAUCCAAGGUCUCACCGCAUCGCUGGAACACAGGAGCCUAGGUAUAAAACGUAAGCCUUUGCA